AGGUGUUGUAGGAGGGAAAGGGUGUCUUGGUGACAGGACUCUGAAGAAGGGCUGCAGAGGAGAUCGUCUGUAUAUUAUAAUAGCAGGAAAUGGUGCGUUGAAAGGAGAGGAGGUGGUGGACAGGGGCUUGGCUGAAAUAAGGACGGCUAUCUUGAAAGCCUUGAGGCAGUACUGUCCAGGGUACAGAAGACACUUUGGAUUCUUCACCUGGGAGCCAGUGAACGAUCAACCCAUUAAAGCUAGCACCACCUGAAUUGUUUGAAGAACAAGAUCGCCCAAAAGGAAAAAGCUACUCCUGUGAGCCUCUGGAAGACCUGAGAUAUCUUUUUAAAAAGCAAGCCUGCAGUCCAGCUACAAGCAAGAAAACAAGAUUUUGCUAAGGCCCCAAUUCUAAGACUCUUGGCAUCUGACAUACCCCUAACAUACAUUCUUCUGUACAGAAAAUGAGGAGAUCUGACCUGCUCCUCACAUUUGGGGUAAUGGUAAAGUUUCUUUCUCCCAUUACACAGGCAGCUUGGUGAUCACUAACUCUUCUAAUUAUUUUCGGACAGGUUUUUCUGCUGUCAACCCAGCCAGUGAGCCACAAUACCCCAAGGUAGCUGGAGGUUACAGUUGAUCACUAAAAUUCAUGGGGGUUACAUUCCUAGAACACCUG
rnacentral:lncRNA from 1 species